rnacentral:rRNA from 1 species
UACGAAGGGGGCUAGCGUUGCUCGGAAUCACUGGGCGUAAAGCGCACGUAGGCGGAUUCUUAAGUCAGGGGUGAAAUCCUGGAGCUCAACUCCAGAACUGCCUUUGAUACUGAGGGUCUUGAGUUCGGGAGAGGUGAGUGGAACUGCGAGUGUAGAGGUGAAAUUCGUAGAUAUUCGGAGGAACACCAGAAGCGAAGGCGGCCAACUGGCCCGAUACUGACGCUGAGGCGCGAAAGCGUGGGGAGCAAACAGG